GACAGCACAGUUGUUAAGCAAGUCUGAAUGUUUGUGUUAUUUCUUGUACCUGUUCAAUGACAGUUUAUCCAGCUCCUCGGCUGAAUGUGCAGUAGUGUUUAUGUAAUGUUUUUGAUCAUGUUGUAAUGGAAGAACUGGGCAUUAACUGGGAGGGGUCCCUUGUGGAAAACCAAUUCACCUGAACCUAAACAGUUAGCAUUAUCAGAACAGUUAGACAUGAUAUCAGAUGAAAAUCUGAUAGUGGUUGUUAGUUAAUUAGAGGUAAUAUUGCUUUGAUAUAGACAAAAUAUUUCCUUUUCCCUUCCACAGAUGCUGUGUGAUAAAGCAGUUUCCAAAUCUCAUAGUGUCAAUGCAACGAGUCCUACUCAAAGAUAAGCGACCCUCCACUCCAAGGAUAAGGAUUGUGACCUGUUUCAGUUUCAGUUUGGUUCCACCAUUUGUACUGCAUGCUUGUGACGGAGUACCUUCACUACAGCUGAGAACUACAGGGGGAUCAUAAGCAAGACGCUUAUAGAGAUGUGUCCCCACCCUGAGUCUCGACCCCAGGGUUCCUAGCCGCUCCGGCUACACGACCCAGAUCAACCCAUUUCAUCACUACCUUCUUGACCCCUUGAUUCCUUUCCCUCCAUGCAUUCAUCCCCGAUCCUUCUCUCUAAUCAAAUAAACUACAUACCUUA